rnacentral:lncRNA from 1 species
AGAAUGGGGAGGGAACUGUUGUUUUUCUUCUCACCCCUUUCCGAGUGGGCCCCUUUUUACAAUGCGUAUCGGUUUUGUGGUCUGUACAGUGCCAAUGAUAACAGAACCCACUCGGUUGCAUUGUGCAGAGUGGAGCUAACAUACACUGAGAAUUUGAAUUCCACCACANNNNNNNNNNAUUCGAGCUCUGGAGAUGCAUGCAGCACACGCAUGUGUAGAUAUAACCACUAUAAGGACAAUAUCCUAGGAGCUGAGUGUCCAGGUCACUGUUUGAUUUUCCUUUCCUUGUUUCGUUGCAAACUCAGGGUGUCACAGCUGGGCCGUGUGGAGGCUGAGGGAUGGGUGAGGACAGAUGGGGAUGGGCACCCUGCUGUUGUCUGAGGGCCGUCAGCAAGUCUCUCAAUUGGUGAUACGUAUGGACCUGGGUCCUCAUGAGAACCAUCCGAAUCUUUUCUCAGUGAUGAAACCCCACCUGUCUCCAUGCCAUCAGUCUUAUUACAGGAUGAUGGCCAAGGAGCUCAUCUGGACUGUCAGAGCUGUGUUCAGCCACCUCCCACUGAGAACCUUAAGUGGUUCUUUCCUCCAUCAGCACAUACUCCUGGUUGACAUGAAAAUGUCAGCAGAGAUUUUUCGGCGUGAUCUAAAGAAUGCGAUCUUGGCGGCCAUCUACCACACAAGGAGGGCACGUGUGGAUUUCCUGGCCUUGCACAGUCGGUGAUGAAAGCGGAGUUGCCUAGUGAUCAGCUGACUUGUGAUCAAUUACAAUAAUGAUGGAAUUUCAAGGUCAAUGUCGUGCUGGUUUUUUUUUUUUUUUUCAAGCUCAUCUUUUCUGCUUAAGGAGAAAAUGCUAGAUAAAUGCAUCUCCAUGUGGGCCUGGACCUCUCCAUGUUGCUCUGUCUUGUCUGUGGAUGUUUGACAGAGACCGGAAGACCUGCAGACCAGCCUGCCAACACCGUCUGUCAAUGGGGGUGCCACUUUCACGGCCCUCCCCUUCCCAUCAGCCUUAGCCCAAAUCACCCUCCAAAAUCGCCAACCAUAGGAAACAUCUUUAACGUAAACUAAUCCCUUCACACUGAAAAUGUUUACAAUUUAGCUGGGUGCGGUGGCUCACACCUCUAAUCCCAGCACUUUGGGAGGCUGAGGCAGGCGGACAGCUUGAGGUCAGGAGUUCAAAACCAGUCUGAGCAACAUGAUGAAACCCUGUCUCCACAAAAAAUUUAAAAAAUUAGCUGAACAUGGUGGCACAUGCCUCUGGUCCCAGCUACUUGGGAGGCUGAGGUGGGUGGAUUGCUUGAAGCUGGGAAGUUGAAACUGCAGUGAACCAAGAUUGCACCACUGCACUCCAGCCUGGGCAGCAGAGAAGGACCCUGUCUCAAAACAAGCAAACAAAAACCAAAAAUGAAAUAAAAUGCUUGCUGUCGGCCCCCACUUCUUUGCAGAGGUCCAGAUGAGGAGCCUCUAAUCAAGGUUGUGACUGGGCCACAC